AGAAAACGCAUGGGAAAAAAUCACUGCUCGAGUCAAUGCGUGCAACCCAGGGGGCGAAAAACGGACUUGGAGGCAGUUGAAAAUGAAAUAUAAAAAUAUAAUUCAAUCAGCCAACAGAAAGAGGGCAGAGGCCCGUAAAACAGGUGGAGGACCUGCACCACCACCUCUAACAGAGGCAGAGGAGAGGGCCCUUAGCCAAACAACAGGAAGGCCCAUGGCUGAGGGAAUCCCAGGGGGCAGCUCAUCUGAACCAGUCAGCCCUGAGGACACAAGUGCCUUCAUAACAUGUAACAAGUCCACACUUCUAUAUUGUUUUUUUUAUGAAGCCUCUUUUAGAUGCAAAAGCUGUUUGUUCCUGAAUCCAAUAGAUUCUGAGGGAAGUCUCCACCUAUUGGAGCCUCAUGUGGCCCAACUCCAGCCUGUUGUAAGUACCUCAACACACCAUAACCCCAUAACCA